UACGUAGGGGGCAAGCGUUAUCCGGAUUUACUGGGUGUAAAGGGAGCGUAGGUGGCACGGUAAGCCAGAAGUGAAAACCCAGGGCUCAACUCUGUGGAUUGCUUUUGGAACUAUCAAGCUAGAGUGCUGGAGGGGUAAGCGGAAUUCCUAGUGUAGCGGUGAAAUGCGUAGAUAUUAGGAGGAACACCGGUGGCGAAGGCGGCUUACUGGACAGAAACUGACACUGAGGCUCGAAAGCGUGGGGAGCAAACAGG
rnacentral:rRNA from 1 species